GGACUACUAGGGUAUCUAAUCCCGUUCGCUCCCCUGGCUUUCGCGCCUCAGCGUCAGGAGAGGCCCAGCGCGCCGCUUUCGCCGCCGGCGUUCCUUCCGAUAUCUACGCAUUUCACCGCUCCACCGGAAGUUCCGCGCGCCCCUACCUCCCUCGAGCCGGCCAGUAUCGGGGGCCAUUUUCCGGUUGGGCCGAAAGAUUUCACCCCCGACUAUGCCGGCCGCCUACGCGCCCUUUAAGCCCAGUGAAUCCGAACAACGUUCGCACGGUUCGUCUUACCGCGGCGGCUGGCAC
rnacentral:rRNA from 2 species